GGAAAGUCAGCCUGUGUACCGGAAAGUCUCAGCAGAGGGUAGGCUCUGGAAAGAGCUAUUUAACCUGACGUAUGUCACCAAGUGACUCAGCCUCUCCUGAGUUCUGACUAGGCUGCAAAGACAGAUGUCUGGGGCUCUUUGGGUUCAUGGAUUAUUGACAAGUAACCCUCUUCCCCAUUUCCUUGGGGUGCUGAGUCCUGUGUUGAGCUAGCACUUUGGCCAAAGGAAGUUUGCAAGAGACUGGUAUUUCAUCAGCUCCUCGAGCAGAAUGACUCACCUGUUACUAAAUGGACACUCACAAAGCCAGGAAAGCUCCAGGAAGUCUGGGAUCUGCAGUUCAAGGCCACCACAUCACCGGCCCCCCGUGGGAGUGAGUGGGACCCAGGAGAUGGGUCUGAAGGAGGAAGAAGGGCAGCUGGAAGAGACAGAGCCCCUUUCCAACAGGGCCAGAGGGAGGUCACCUUGGAGACCCCUGGAUGGUACCAUUUGCCUUCUCACUUUUGAAAUGUGGAGCUCCAAGAUGAGAAAACUGAGACCUGUGUAGGUCAAUUGACUGACCCAAGAUUCCACAGUUUGUGGCUCACAUUGAAUUGCAGCUCCAGUCUUUUGACCAACAGGGAACUGGUGGUGAUUUUAAAGGAGAAAUAAGAUAUGGAGAAGAAGACUCCAUGGGUUGGAUGAGCCUAGCUAUCAUUCUAUUUUAAAAUAACCAAAAAUGAGCAACUCUUUCUAGCAACACUGUAAUCUUCCAAGAUGCAUUUAUGGAAAAUUCUCCAUGAGGUGAGCAGGCCUCCUCCACCGAGUGCUCCUGCUAUGCUGUACUCUGCUGCCACAGGCGAAGCAAAAGGACCAAGUAUGCAUGGACUGAAACUAGGAGUUAAGAUGAGUCUUCCCUCCUGUUAAAUCGAUUAUCUCAGAUCCUCUUUUGUUGCCAGUUCAUGGAGCCCAGGUGGUUGCGCAUCAGAUUUUUCCAUCUUGUUUCCCUUUGGAGUUGCUGUAGGUGAUCUGGAAGUCUGUUUUUGAGGCUUGUUUAUGUGUCUUCUCAUUUCCCCAGGGGAUAAGGGUGUGUGCUGCUGGUGCCCGUGCUGCUCACCUCCUCUGCCCUAGGAGUGGUGGAAUGGCAGCGGGAAGCCUCCUCCUGGGCGCUGGGAUUGGCUCACCUCCUCUGCCCUGGGAAUGGUGGAAUGGUUAACUCAUUUCUAAUACUUUGAAAUAUUUGAUUUGAGAUGUUUGGCAUGAAAAGCCCAUUAAAUAAAUGUCAAAUUCCAUUUUAACAUAAACCAUACACUAAAGGGUUUGAUGCUCUUAAUUUUUCCUUGAUUAACUCUGUGUUUUCCCAGGCUCGAAAUAUGACUCUCUAUGGAAGAUUCAAGUUACUUAGGGCUGGGACCCUUGUGUGUGACCAUGGUGGGUUUCCUGUUGAACUUGUGAUGCUACAGCCUUUAAAACUUACAAAGGGUAGUUCUCUUCAGUUCUGUAGGCCCCAUAUCUGGCUUUGAGUUGUGUAUGUACUCCGUAAUUGUUCUCUUUAUUCACAGAAAUUUGCAGACCUCUUCUUGAUUGAUCACUUCAUAGAACGUCAUACUUUUUGACUUGUAAGAUUUGUAAAUAUAUUUUCUGUUGAUUUUUAAAGACUGUCAUAUUAUCUCAAAACAACUGAUAGAAUCUCACUAUAUUUAAAAUUACAUUUUCUAUUAAAAGGUAUGGGUCUUUUUUUGAAUGUGAUUCUGCAUGUUUUCAUAGUCUUAAGAUGUUACAGCUUUGAUGAAUAUUAAAAAUGAUAUCCAGUUAAAUUUUGAAUACCUCACUCAGCUUUUUCUGACUUGCUGUCAAGUUUAUGAAAAUGUUCUAAAAACAAAUAAGCAAGUGUUCAUGCACAAUUGAAAAAUUUCAUAUUCACGUGUCUCCAUUUCACCCACCCCGAACUAUAACUUUUGUUGGUAUAGACAGAGAUGUAUUGAAACUCCUUUUACCAAUUUGAAGAUUAUUUUGGAGAUGUAAACCAAUAUUUUUAAGAAAUCAAGGUAAGAAAAGCAAAAUUUCUAAAUCUACAAUGGAUUAUAUUAAAAGGGAUAGAUUUCAAUAUUUCUUGGUGGGAAUCUUCUACAAGCUAUAGUGCUUAAAGAGAAAAUUCUGGCUUCUAUAUCCAACUAGAUUUUCUUUCAGGAUUCAUUCAACAAACAUUUCUUGGACUCCUUUUAUGUGUCAAGCAUGAUUUCAGGUGAUUUGAGAUAUGUGAGUGAACCAAAUAAGAAAAUACAGAUUCUGUGACCAUUAAGUGUGAGAUGUCAGCUUGACCAGAUUAAGACAUGCCUAGAAGAAUAACAAAGCACAGUUCUGGCCUUUCAGGCAUGAAAUGGAAUGAAGAAAGUUGGCCUAUGACUUUGAAGAGCUCCAGUCUGCUUGAUGCUAAGGAUUGAACCCAGGAAUCAUCAUAUGUGUUAAUGUGUUAGGGAGUCGAACUCAGGACCUGCGGUUGUCAGGGAGGUGCAGCGACACUGAGCUACAUCCUCGGCCCCAUUGCGAUACAACAUAACUAUGAAGCAGAGAACUAAGGAGCAUACAGGGUCACACAGCGGAGACUUUGAGAGUUGGUCCGGAAUCUGGCUGUUCUGCAGGCGGAGCUCAUGUUCCUAAACAUUGUAGUGUUGUACUUCAGAAUACUCUGAGCCAGAAGAUGGUUACAUGAGACUGAUUCUCUGAUUAUAAAGCUGGCAAGGUCUCAGAAAAACUAGAAAUGUUCCAGACAUCGCCAAAUGUUUGCUGUAGGGCAAAAUUGCCCCCAAUCAAGGACUCUUCAUCUAAAUAUAAGUGAUAUGCCUCAUCCUCCUCUUCAAGUUUUGCAUGUUGUAUGCACUUUUUUGAAACAUAUCACAGACAUGUGGAGGGAAGCUAACCUAACUCUAACUCUCUCAACUGCAUUCAGUGGAUCUCUAAAUGUGACUGAUUCGUUACAUGAUGGCAAAUGCAAAAUCCUAUCCGAAAGCAUGGAAUGGGGAAGGGAAGGUGAUGGUGAGGAGGAAGGUGAUGGUGAGGAGAUCACAGAUGCCUACAGGAGCUAUGCUGGUGAGGGGUGGCAAGGGGGCUGACUACUUCACACUUUUGUAACUCUGAUCCUUAACAAUAUGGUAUUUAUAUUUGCAACCGGGGUGAUGACUGAUUAUUAUAUUUA
ensembl:lncRNA